rnacentral:lncRNA from 1 species
UCAUUAUUCAUAGAAGCAAGCAUGAUACAUUUGACAGUCAAACUGUCAUUUUUCCACAUACGAUAUGUGGCCAAUUCCUCCUCAGUUGCAUCUUCCCCUGCUGACCCUAGGUCAGGGGUUUCAAGAAUGUAGGAAAGUUUUUCUUGUGUGAGAACAAUCUUUAAAUUCCUCAACCAGUCCACAUAGUUGGGACCAGUCAAUUUGUUUGUAUCUAAGAUACCUCUAAGUGAGAGUGAAGAUGCCAUUUUUGCAGAA